AACUCUUGUGCGACGCCUGCUCAACUCGAACACGGAGUUCAGUUCAUCUUCUCGAACGUUAAAAAAAAAAACCUCCGGAACAAACUAGGAUUCGUAGCCUUAUCGCUGUCGUAUUUUGGUCUGGAAAGAGAGGUUAAUCAAGCCAGUAGCCAGUAAGCAAGCGAAAGCUAUUUUGAUCAUUGGACAAGAUGCCACUUGGCUGCAGACAUGCUUUGCCUCUCUUGUUACACUUGACAUUAGAGGAUAAAAAUCAGGUGGAGCUUCUGCUUUUUUAAUGCAAGCUGUAUGGAUUUUGCCGGGGACAAACCAAGCAGUGCCUGUGUAUUAAACACCAUGAGGGCACAUUGCAGUUCACCGUCUAAAUGAGCGGCACAUACAGUCUAAACACAGCAGCCAGUUUGAAGUCUAGGAAAAAAAUCUCAACAGACAAUUAGAAGCAUCAGGUGGUCCGUUUUUAGCAGCUGCCUUCGAAACAUCUGUCCUGCCUGAAAAAAUACCACAGGGAGCAGUGGAUGACCUAUCACGUGGUCCAAUUUCUUGUAUCAGAAGGCUAGCCUGAGCCCCACCCCUGCCACCGCCCUCCUUUUUUUUUUGUCGCAAGAAAGGCACCUCACAUGUCUCGCUCACAUGGCGUCAGUGAAUGUAAUUCUCAAGAUAUAGUAUGCUUUCAGUCCAAGCAUGUGACUGCCUUUUUAUUGAUUUUGUUGCAGUGCUUUACCAUUUGUGUGGA